GGAGGGCGAGAUAGUGGAUGGGGGCAAGAUGACGAUUGAGAGAGACAAGAUGGCGGCCAGAGACAAGAUGGCGGCCAAGGAGGGCAAGAUGGCGAUUGAGGGGGACGAGAUGUUAACCAAAGGCAAGAUGGCGGCUGGGGACAAGAGAGCGGCCGAGGGCAAGAUGGCGGUUGAGGGGGACAAGAUGGAGGCCGAGGUGGGGGAGAUGGCGGUUGAGGGAGACAAGAUGGCGGAUGGGGACAAGAUGGCGGCCGAGGAGGGUGAGGUGUUGGUUGAGGACAAGAUGGUGGGCAAGGACAUCGAGGUGGAGGCUGGGAACAAGAUGGUGGCUGAAGGGGAGAAGAUGGCGGCCAAAAGGGACGUCACGAUGGCGGACCGGGAGGACUGGAUGGUGGACAAGGACUGCAAGAUGGCGGCCAAGGAGGACUGUGUGGUAGCCAAGGAGGGCUCCAAGAUGGCGGCCAAGGAGGACUCCAAGAUGGCGGCCCAGGAGGGCGUCAAGAUGGCGGCCGAGGAGGACGGCAAGAUGGCGGAGGAGGAGGCCAAGAUGGCGGCCCAGUGAGUUCCCCUGUCCCCUCCCCUGCUCCCAUGUUUUCCCCGUGACGUCACACCAUUGGCCCAGCCUGGUGACAUCAUCACGCCGUGCCCCAAUCACAUGACAUCACUGCUCAUUGCCCCUUGUGACAUC
rnacentral:lncRNA from 1 species